UACGAAGGGGGCUAGCGUUGCUCGGAAUUACUGGGCGUAAAGGGAGCGUAGGCGGACAGUUUAGUCAGAGGUGAAAGCCCAGGGCUCAACCUUGGAAUAGCCUUUGAUACUGACUGUCUUGAGUAUGGGAGAGGUUAGCGGAACUCCGAGUGUAGAGGUGAAAUUCGUAGAUAUUCGGAAGAACACCAGUGGCGAAGGCGGCUAACUGGCCCAUUACUGACGCUGAGGCUCGAAAGCGUGGGGAGCAAACAGG
rnacentral:rRNA from 1 species